GUGGGGAAUAUUGCACAAUGGGCGCAAGCCUGAUGCAGCAACGCCGCGUGAGGGACGACGGCCUUCGGGUUGUAAACCUCUUUUAGCAGGGAAGAAGCGAAAGUGACGGUACCUGCAGAAAAAGCACCGGCUAACUACGUGCCAGCAGCCUCGGUAAUACGUAGGGUGCAAGCGUUGUCCGGAAUUAUUGGGCGUAAAGAGCUCGUAGGCGGUUUGUCGCGUCUGCUGUGAAAACCCGAGGCUCAACCUCGGGCCUGCAGUGGGUACGGGCAGACUAGAGUGCGGUAGGGGAGAUUGGAAUUCCUGGUGUAGCGGUGGAAUGCGCAGAUAUCAGGAGGAACACCGAUGGCGAAGGCAGAUCUCUGGGCCGUAACUGACGCUGAGGAGCGAAAGCGUGGGGAGCGAACAGGAUUAGAUACCCCUGUAGUCC
rnacentral:rRNA from 1 species